rnacentral:rRNA from 1 species
ACGGGUGAGUAAUGCUUAGGAAUCUGCCUAUUAGUGGGGGACAACAUCUCGAAAGGGAUGCUAAUACCGCAUACGUCCUACGGGAGAAAGCAGGGGACCUUCGGGCCUUGCGCUAAUAGAUGAGCCUAAGUCGGAUUAGCUAGUUGGUGGGGUAAAGGCCUACCAAGGCGACGAUCUGUAGCGGGUCUGAGAGGAUGAUCCGCCACACUGGGACUGAGACACGGCCCAGACUCCUACGGGAGGCAGCAGUGGGGAAUAUUGGACAAUGGGGGGAACCCUGAUCCAGCCAUGCCGCGUGUGUGAAGAAGGCCUUUUGGUUGUAAAGCACUUUAAGCGAGGAGGAGGCUACCGAGAUUAAUACUCUUGGAUAGUGGACGUUACUCGCAGAAUAAGCACCGGCUAACUCUGUGCCAGCAGCCGCGGUAAUACAGAGGGUGCAAGCGUUAAUCGGAUUUACUGGGCGUAAAGCGCGCGUAGGUGGCCAAUUAAGUCAAAUGUGAAAUCCCCGAGCUUAACUUGGGAAUUGCAUUCGAUACUGGUUGGCUAGAGUAUGGGAGAGGAUGGUAGAAUUCCAGGUGUAGCGG